rnacentral:rRNA from 1 species
CGCCUGUUUAUCAAAAACAUGUCCUUUUGGAAUUUAUAUAAGGUAUAACCUGCUCUAUGAUAUUAUUAAAUGGCCGCAGUAUAUUAACUGUGCUAAGGUAGCAUAAUCAAUUGUCUUUUAAUUAAGGGCUAGAAUGAAUGGUUGGACGAGAUGAUGACUUUCUUUUUGUUAUUUUUUUAAUUUGACUUGUCAGUAAAAAGGCUGAUAUAUUUUUAUGGGACGAGAAGACCCUAUAGAUCUUUAUAUUAUUUUGAAUUUGUUUAUUUUUUAAUUUAUAAAUUAAUUUAUUGUUUUAUUUAAUUGGGGUGAUUGUGGAAUUUCUUUAACUUCUUUUAUUAUUUUUAUAGAUUAGUAUUUAUAUGAUCUUAUUUUAUAGAUUUUAAGAUUAAGUUACCUUAGGGAUAACAGCGUAAUUUUUCCGGAGAGUUCAUAUUGAUGGAUUAGUUUGCGACCUCGAUGUUGGAUUAAAAUAGGUUUUGGGUGAAGAAGUCUAAUAACUAGGUCUGUUCGACCUUUAUAAUUUUACAUGAUCUGAGUUCAAACCGGAG